ensembl:lncRNA
UAUGGGAAAACAACAUUAUACAUUCAUAGUAAUUCAAUUAAUGUAGCAGUGACACUGGCACAUGGAAUUGAGAUGAACAGUCUAGAAACCCAAAUAGAUAUGGGAGUUUAGAUAGAUGAAUGAGGCUACAUAGAGAAACAGACAUAGAUUAUUCAAGAAAUGCUGGCUGGGUGUGGUGGCUUACACCUGUUAUCCCAGCACUUUGAGAGGCCAAGGUGGGUUGAUCACUUCAGUCCAGAGUUCAAGACCAGCCUGGGCAACAAAGCAAGACUCCGUCUCUACAAAAACUUAAAAAUUGAGCUGGGCGCGGUGGCUCACGCCUGUAAUCCCAGCACUUUGGGAGGCUGAGGCAGGUGGAUCACGAGGUCAGGAGAUCAAAAUCAUCUUAGCUAACAUGGUGAAACCCCUUCUCUACUAAAAAUACAAAAAAUUAGCCGGGCGUGGUGGCACACGCCUGUAGUCCCAGCUAAUUGGGAGUGUGAGGCAAGAGAAUCGCUUGAGCCUGGGAGGUGGAGGUUGCAGUGAGCUGAGAUCGCGCCACUGCACUCCAGCCUGGGCGACAGAGCAAGACUCCGUCUGAAAAAAAACAAACAAACUUAAAAAUUAGCCAGGUAGAGGAUCACUUCAUUCCAGACCAGGCAGAAACAGAGCAAGACCCUGUAUCAAAAAAAGAAAAAAGAAAAGAAAAGAAAUGCUCAUAAAAUAUGGAUUGUUCAAUAAAUGGUGGUGUUGGGACAAUAAAAAGGCAUCUGGGAAAAAUAACUUUGAAUCUCUAUAUCACUUCUUAUUCGACAAUAAAUUUGAGAUAAAUCAACAUGAAAUACUGAAAAAUAAACUUUAUUGUUAUUACUUUCUUUUUUGAGAUGGAGUCUCACUCUUAUCCAGGCUGGAGUGCAAUGGCAUGAUCUCGGCUCACUGCAACUUCUACCUCCCGGGUUCAAGCGAUUCUCCUACCUUAGCCUCCCAAGUAGCUGGGAUUACAGGCGCCCACCAGCAUGCCUAGCUAAUUUUUUUUUUUUUUUUUUUGGAAAUGGAGUCUGGCUUUCUCACCCAGGCUAGAGUGCAGUGGCACAGUCUUGGCUAACUGCAAUCUGCCCCUCCCAGGUUCAAGUGAUUGUCCUGCCUCAGCCUCCCGAGUAGCUAGGAUUACACAUGCCCGCCAGCAUGCCCUGCUAAUUUUGUGUAUUUUUAGUAGAGAUGGGGUUUCAGCAUAUUGGCCAGGCUAGUCUCAACUCCUGACCUUGUGAUCUGCCCUCCUCGGCCUCCCAAAGUGCUGGGAUUACAGGCAUGAGCCACUAUGCCCGGCCAUUCUUGUCUCUUUGAGACUCACUUUUCAAAACUACUGUUGUUAGAUGAUCCUUAUAGACAUGUUGCUGAGGGAAAGAAGCCAAACACAAAGUAAUCAAAUCUACAUGACUCCAUUUAUAUACUUUCAAAAGGAGCUACACUGAUCCAUGGUGUUAGAGGUCAGGAUAGAGGUUACCUGUGGGGAGUAGGGAGGAGGCAGAGAUUGGGGCAGGUCCCAAGGGUUGCUUCUGGGUUGCUGUUAAUGCUGUUUCUUUCUUUUUUUUUUUUCUUUUUUGAGACAGAGUCUUGCUCUGUCACCCAGGCUGGAGUGCAGUGGUGCAAUCUCGGCUCACUGCAAGCUCCGCCUCCCAGAUUCACGCCAUUCUCCUGCCUCAGCCUCCUG